AUGAAACGCUCUGCAUCUAUUUGGAUAGCUGUGAAUUAUGCCCAUGAGAGCUGUUUGAAAGGAAGGAACAUCUCAGUUACACCAAGCAAAGCAGAGAAGUGCUUGACACCAUCUAACAUAAAUGCUCAUCAGAUCACAAACCAAGUGAUAAUAAAAUGGGACCUGCCUGCAACUCCUACAAAAUAUGAGCUGAGAUACAGAGAAGCACUUACAGAAUCCACUCAGUGGAUGUUGGUGACCACAGAAAGCAAUGCUGUCAACAUCACUGUUUCAGACUUAAAUGUUAUGUCUUCAUACAUCGUUCAGCUCAGAUGCAUAGCCACGGAUGAUCAUCGCUGUGUUUGUGUUUGGAGUAGAGAGAUUUUGGUCCCCCACAAGCUCACUAAGAAGCCAACACUAUCAUAUAAUAUAACUACAGAAAUCUCUCCAGGCAGAAGAAGUGUUCUUCUUAAGUGGGAGGUAAUGUUCACUUUGGGUAUGGGUUCAUUCUGUUAUAUCCAUGCUACUAAUCCAUUACUUUACAGGGAAAAAAUAUACUUUCACAUUGUAUUGGGACUGUAUUGA
rnacentral:lncRNA from 1 species